CGGGAAGGUAAUGGAGGAAGGGAACUUGAGUGGAGCUGCAGACGACGGCGUCAACCCAAAACCACCACCCGGUUCCGAAGACUGCGCCGGAGAACCCGGGUCCGAAAAUAGCCCAUAGUUCAGCCAAAUCCAUCGCUCGAUGAUCUCUUCUCCAACAACAAGAUCUUCCUCCGCUCAAGUCAAAAUUGUAAGAAAAUUGAAAAAAAAAAAAACUUUAUUGUUGAAUCGAAUUAUUAUAAUUUUAUUUUUAUACAGAGAAAUAAUGUUGUUGUUUGGUUUAGGUAUUGGUUAGUGUUUUCUGACCCGAUUUGGACACAGAGUCGAACUGAACCGGUAAAUCCGGUGAUACGACCACUAAUUCGGUUAAGAUCCAUACGGAAAAUCCAACAAAUCUAACGAUCCGCUAUUAUUGGUUGAACCGGUUG
rnacentral:lncRNA from 1 species